UUGAAAGGGAAACGAUUGAAGUCAGUCGUGCUGGCGCGAAAUCAACCUUCUCGUCUUGAGAUCACAUGGCGUGGCGAGCCUCAAAACCGUCACGAAGCGUGAACUCUUGGUGAAAUGGAGCACUUUCGUGUCCGCUGGUUAACAUCAAUUUCGAACGUCAUAAAAAGGCUGGAGGGAUGUGGCUCCUUCGGGAGUGUUAUAACCUUUAGCGGAAUGUGGUGUUCGGGAUUGAGGAUUGCAACGAAUACCUUUAGGGCUGUUCCACCUGGCUUCUCUUUGGUAUCCUGGUGACGACAGUUUGCUGACGUCGUUAGGAUUCGCCUUUGAACAGGCUAGAGUGUGAGCAAAUUCGUUAAGGAUGUUGACGUA
rnacentral:rRNA from 1 species